rnacentral:sRNA from 1 species
GCAGCUGCUGCAAACCUCCCUCGUGAGGCUGCUGAGAAAGCUGUCGUUGACGUCGCUCGUGGGUUGGGCAACCAGGGUUUCCUUGGCAAGAUUGUUGCCCGUCAGAACAUUGUCACCGUGACUGCUACUGCUGACAGCUGCGCACCGGUUGACCCGGCGACUUCGUCAUCUGAGGUUCCUGAAAUCCAGUCCACAACAACUCCACUCCCUCUUCCUUCUUCCAGCAGUGUGGCAGUUUCUUCUGCUGUAGUGUCUUCUGUUGAUCCAAUUGCGACGUCCUCUGUGGCUGCGAGCAGCACCUUCUCUGCU